GUUUUAAAAUAUAAUACAUUCAAAUAAAACUAAAUUAAAAAAAUUAAUUAAAAAAUUAAAGUGAUUUAAUUAAAGUGAUAAAUAUAUAAGUAUAUAAUUGAAUUCGUAUUAUUCAGAUCAAUUAUAUUCUCGUAUGGCUGUGUGGAGUUUGAAAGGUCAUUGCCCAAGGAUAAGCACACAUCGAUGCAAGAUAAUGAAGUUUCGGUUGACUCGAUAGAUCCGUGCACAAGAAGACAAUUCAAGCGUACCGCUCGUCAGGUUAAUUGAAUUUAUGGCUCGAUAUUCCGGGCGUGAGCGAUUACGAUCGACGAUAAGCCGAGUCGCGUGAACCUUCUACGCGAUGGAUCCUUGUUAACGAAUUCACCUCGAACAAUACCUGGAGAUCGUUAAUCUAACUUUCCGACUUUUCCUUUAUUUAAACAGACUAUUAAAAUGGAAAAUCAGUGAGUCAAAUGUAAAAAAAGAAAUUGUCAUGGAAAUAAUAUCCGAGAAAUAAUCUAAUAUAUUAAAUGUAAUAGUUCAAAAACUAUGAAAAAAUGGAUCUGUCCUUCUCUUGUUGCAAAUUCUUCAAUUGUCAGUCACCACCUCGAAAACAUGAUAGAUAUAAAUCAACUAUCCAUAAAGAACGAUGAGAGAUCAAAGAAUAUUCUUGACGUGAAACAUCGUGGCAUCAUUAAUCAGGAUCAAUUUAUGCAUUGUCAUGAAUAAAAGGUCACAUUACAAUCCAUAAAAUUCAUGAAAUCCAUUUGGAACAAUGAUGAGCUAAAUAUGAACUAAAGGGAUUUUAAUUUAGUACAGACGAGCUUGUGAAAGAUUUCAGUGAGGAGAAUAUUCGAGGUAUAAACCGUCCUGGAAAGCGAAUAAUGUUCUUAUUCUGGAGAAUGGAAGUUACAAUUGAGUGAAACGAUGAUCGCGUAAAGUUGUCGAGAAUCGUUCAAAUUCGAAUCAGUCAGAUAACAUGGAAGUUCGAAGGAGUUAGAAACGCAAACGUGGAUUAGAAUUUCGCUUUUAAUUUAUGCGACAAACAUAUAUAACGAGGUUGAAAAGAUAGCUUUUAUUUUAUUU